rnacentral:lncRNA from 1 species
CCUCUCUUCUUCUCUCUCUAAAAUGCCAAGGGUUGAGAGAAAUGAGGGAAAGAGAGAGAAGAAGGGCUCUCUAUAGGCUCUAAAGUAACAAAAUCCAGAUAAGCCCCUCAAAAAUCCAAAAUCACAUCAGCCCGGUCUGAGCAGUUUUCGCCCAGAGGGACCGAUCUCCCCGACCUGGGACCGGUCUCUCAGCCUGCCCCCGAAAAUCCAACGUUCGGGAACCGGUCUCUCCCUGCGCGGGACCGGUCUCUCCCCGCGCAGACGCGCUCGGGGACCGGUCUCAACUGCCAGGGACCGGUUGCCUCGCCGGCUACGCAGCACUGUUCACUGGGGGACCGGUCUCUCCUAUCAGGGACCGGUCCCCGAGAGUAAAAACUCUCAGGACUCUGCCAAAACUCUCGAGAUCGAACUUUUAGGCCGUUAUACCAUCGACGGCCCUCCACCAAGUGUGGAAAAGUUCGG